ensembl:lncRNA
CCUUGCAUUGUUUCUCCUUUUCAAAUAUUUACACUAGUCUGUCCACAUCGUCUCUCAUCUCUCAUCUCUCAUCUCAUUACAAAGCAGCCGGUGUCUUUGAGGUUAGUGGUGGUUCUCUGUGUUGUACCUGGCAGAACAGCCAGCAGGAAACCUCUUACCACGAUUGUGCACAUCGUUUGUAGUCCCAAUGAAAAUCCUCUCCAGACACGCCUGUGCUGCUUAUUAUAGCAGAACUUUGGUUGCGCUGAAAUGUGCAUUCAGCUAAUGGUUUUAAGUUCAUAUCUGAGAUGAUGUUGUAUCAUUCAUGAAGCAUAUGGGAUCAGUAAUGAUUGAAGAUAAUUCUGGCUGAUGUCAUUUAGAGGAUAUUUUUCACUUCAAGUUAAAGCUUCCUUCGCGAUAGUCAUUUUGGGAUUCAUUUAACGAUGUGCUUUAUUUCAUAGCUCAAAUUUUCAUUAGUCAUUUCAUAACACAGGAUUUUGAAAGCAGAUUUGGCAAAAUCUUUUUAACAAAAUGUUUGCUUAUGACAUCCCAAGGAACAGCACUCAGAAUUGCUGGUAACUGUGGUACAUUUUAAGGCUGAUGAUAGAAGUCACUUGAACGGUAAGGUCUGCUUUGUGAGGCAAGUGGGGUUUGAACCCCAACCCUCCUGAUACACCAGCCUUGACCCUGGCCUUCUCUCCUCUCCACUGGGAGAUGAGAAGGGUGCCAGCAUCCACCUCACAGGCUGUCUUGAGAGCGCGGGACUAAGGGCUUGUGUUCCUCUUGCAGGUGGCGCAGAUGUGGGGGCUUGACGAUCUACACACUGCAGGCUGCCAGUGUCGGGAGGGGCUCCCGGAAGUGGUGCCUUGGAUGGCGAUUUCACCCUGGGGAUGCUUCGCCAGCUGCCCAGGUGCUGGCUGCCUGAGGCCUGCUGCCAUCCUGGGUGGACGGGGCCGUCGUGGGGACAUCCCUGAGCACCUGCGGGAAGGCAGGUUUAGGAAGUGCCAGAGGUGAGUGGCUUCCUCCCACACUUGAUUUUCUGGAAAGUUCUGGGUCUCAUAUUUUUCCCUAAGGGAAGUUAGAAACUGAGUUUCUCUUUAGGGGAACGACUGUGCAGCGUCUGUUGUUUGAAUGUUCUCCAGGUGUGGAAUACUCGGAGCCGUAUGUGUUUGGGAACAUCCGUGUCCUGAGUGAAUUCAGUAGGGAAUGGAGAGAGGCCUCCUGUCAGCUUGGCCUCUGUUUCCAGCUUGUUGAGGGUUGACGGCUGCCAUGGUAUCCCAGGGAGAGUAAAACACUGGGCGGUGUGGGAUGGGAACAUUUGCUCUGACAAGGUCAGUGGGAAAGCAUCUAAACAAAAGUUGCUGUUUUCCGGGCUCCGCAGGGUCGAGCUUGUUUUGUGGGGUUGAGGGAAAGCUACCCUUGUUCCUGUUCCUCACCAUUUGAAAGGUGUCCAGGACACAUUCCUCUGGAGAGGUGAUGCGCGUGAGUGGGGGUCAGGUCGUAAGCUCCGAGGUUAUUUGGAAUCUGUCAACUGAUUUCCUGAACACACAGGUGCUUGGUAAAGGUGUUCCUGAUUAGCUAAAACAUUUCAACAGGACGUGAUAGCUGGUGGUUGUGUAAAGACUAUCACAAUUUUCCUGUUACUUUUUAAAUACCUGUUGAAUAAGGGAGGAUUCACAUAUUUUUCU